CAAAAAAUAGUUUAAUAAAAACAUUAAUCUUGGAGAUUAAUAUUAUAAUUUUUUAUUUUUUUGA
rnacentral:tRNA from 1 species